GGAGAGGUCGCAUAGCCCGGUCCAUUGCGAGGGUUUGCUAAACCCUUGAGCCUUAACAGCUCGCGUGGGUUCAAAUCCCACCCUCUCCG
rnacentral:tRNA from 2 species